GCCAGCAGCCGCGGUAAUACGUAGGUGGCAAGCGUUAUCCGGAUUUAUUGGGCGUAAAGAGAGUGCAGGCGGUUUUCUAAGUCUGAUGUGAAAGCCUUCGGCUUAACCGGAGAAGUGCAUCGGAAACUGGAUAACUUGAGUGCAGAAGAGGGUAGUGGAACUCCAUGUGUAGCGGUGGAAUGCGUAGAUAUAUGGAAGAACACCAGUGGCGAAGGCGGCUGCCUGGUCUGCAACUGACGCUGAGACUCGAAAGCAUGGGUAGCGAACAGGAUUAGAUACCCUGGUAGUCCAUGCCGUAAACGAUGAAUGCUAAGUGUUGGAGGGUUUCCGCCCUUCAGUGCCGGAGCUAACGCAUUAAGCACUCCGCCUGGGGAGUACGACCGCAAGGUUGAAACUCAAAGGAAUUGACGGGGGCCCGCACAAGCGGUGGAGCAUGUGGUUUAAUUCGAAGCUACGCGAAGAACCUUACCAGGUCUUGACAUCUUGCGCCAAUCUUAGAGAUAGGGCGUUUCCUUCGGGAACACAAAGACAGGUGGUGCAUGGUCGUCGUCAGCUCGUGUCGUGAGAUGUUGGGUUAAGUCCCGCAACGAGCGCAACCCUUAUUAUUAGUUGCCAGCAUUAAGUUGGGCACUCUAGUGAGACUGCCGGUGACAAACCGGAGGAAGGUGGGGAUGACGUCAAAUCAUCAUGCCCCUUAUGACCUGGGCUACACACGUGCUACAAUGGACGGUACAACGAGUCGCGAACUCGCGAGAGUAAGCAAAUCUCUUAAAACCGUUCUCAGUUCGGACUGCAGGCUGCAACUCGCCUGCAUGAAGUCGGAAUCGCUAGUAAUCGCGGAUCAGCAUGCCGCGGUGAAUACGUUCCCGGGCCUUGUACACACCGCCCGUCACACCAUGAGAGUUUGUAACACCCAAAGUCGGUGGGGUAUACCUUUUAGGAGCCAGCCGCCUAAGGUGGACAUAGUUGG
rnacentral:rRNA from 1 species